UACGUAGGGGGCAAGCGUUGUCCGGAUUUAUUGGGCGUAAAGAGCGUGUAGGCGGCCAAACAGGUCAGCUGUGAAAACUCGAGGCUCAACCUCGAGACGUCGGUUGAAACCGUUGGUCUAGAGUCCGGAAGAGGAGAGUGGAAUUCCCGGUGUAGCGGUGAAAUGCGCAGAUAUCGGGAAGAACACCCGUGGCGAAGGCGGCUCUCGUGGGACGGUACUGACGCUGAGACGGCGAAAGCGUGGGGAGCGAACAGG
rnacentral:rRNA from 1 species